rnacentral:rRNA from 1 species
UACGUAGGGUGCGAGCGUUAAUCGGAAUUACUGGGCGUAAAGUGUGCGCAGGCGGUUUUGUAAGCCAGAUGUGAAAGCCCCGGGCUCAACCUGGGAAUGGCAUUUGGGACUGCAAGGCUUGAGUGCGGCAGAGGAGACUGGAAUUCCUGGUGUAGCAGUGAAAUGCGUAGAUAUCAGGAGGAAUACCGAUGGCGAAGGCAGGUCUCUGGGCCGUAACUGACGCUGAGGAGCGAAAGCGUGGGGAGCGAACAGG